GUUGCAUGAAUAAACAUGCAACUUCUUUUAAAGUUUGUUUAGCAAAUUAUUCGAUGAAGACAUAUUUAUGGAACCAAAUAUCCCACCUGGUUAGGAAGCUAUGGCUGUUUUCUGACUAAUGUUGAUGUUUAUUUCGUAAUCCAUCCAGCCAUUUUAAAGAAAAUUAUAUUUUUGCUAUACCAAAGCACAUGCUAUCUUGAACUACUUCUUAUUGUUGCGUAAAUGCAUUGCUAGGCCAAUUUCAGUGAUGUAAAACAUGGCAAGCUUCUUGUGUGGGGUUUCCUUCCCUUUCCGACAAAGUGUAAUGUGUCAUAUUUAGGUGGCGGACAGUUUAGGAAUAUCGAUGUGUGAAUGAAUAUACAGACAUGCAUAAUCACAGAAUUUGGACUUGCUAUAAAUAAACCUGUAAUUGUUGGCUCUGGUUAACCUAAUUAUGAAAUCAAAUUAAAUUUUUAAUGUGAUGCAGAUUAGUUAGAAAGCAUUAUGGAGAGUAAUCUUGUUUGGCUUGUUUGGCCUAAACAAACCUAAAUAAACUGCCUGGUCCUGUUCGAAGCUUGGUGACUCACCUGCGGAUGUUCUUCACAUCUUUCUGGUUGUUGAAGGUUCGGAGUGGGGACCGCUGGUUGACCAGAUGGAUGGGUGGUUCCUUGGCCAGGUGGUUGGUGUCAGAGGUCAUUAGAGAAGCCCUGAAGUGGAUACGGGAAGGCUGCAUCAUGGCUGUGCCUGCAGCUCCAGCACCACGCUCUCCAGCUCCUGCUUGUGCAGGUGGCUCUGGCCCUGGAGCUCCUUCAGCUGCAAGCCCAGGCUCCUCUUCUCUGUCUCCAGCCCCUUCAGCUGGGACUCCCGCAGCUGAACCAGCUCCUCCAGCUCUCCUCGCGGGGGACCAGGGGGAGGAAGGGAGGUUCAGAGGUGCUGUCAUCGCUGGUGCUGCUGCCCACACUACACCGGUCUUCUUCAUCACUCAGGUACUCGUAGCUGCACAGAAACACCGGAGAAAUCUUGAGCAGCGCCAAGGGGGCCUCUCAUGUAAGAAAAUAUCUCAAAUAUCUAAGAAAGAAGCCUGCACCUAGUAUGGUGCCCUCACCUCUGUGUGAACUUCAGAUAGGGUGUGUAGUCAAUCAUCG